GACGAACGCUGGCGGCGUGCUUAACACAUGCAAGUCGAACGCUGAAGACCUGGCUUUUGUUGGGUUGGAUGAGUGGCGAACGGGUGAGUAACACGUGAGUAACCUGCCCUCUUCUUUGGGAUAACGCCCGGAAACGGGUGCUAAUACUGGAUAUUCACUGGCCUUCGCAUGGGGGUUGGUGGAAAGGUUUGUUCUGGUGGGGGAUGGGCUCGCGGCCUAUCAGCUUGUUGGUGGGGUGAUGGCCUACCAAGGCUUUGACGGGUAGCCGGCCUGAGAGGGUGACCGGGCACAUGGGGACUGAGAUACGGCCCAGACUCCUACGGGAGGCAGCAGUGGGGAAUAUUGCACAAUGGGCGAAAGCCUGAUGCAGCGACGCCGCGUGAGGGAUGGAGGCCUUCGGGUUGUAAACCUCUUUCGCUCAUGGUCAAGCCGCAACUGUGGGUUGUGGUGAGGGUAGUGGGUAAAGAAGCGCCGGCUAACUACGUG
rnacentral:rRNA from 1 species